UACGUAGGGUGCAAGCGUUGUCCGGAAUUAUUGGGCGUAAAGAGCUCGUAGGCGGUCUGUUGCGUCGGCUGUGAAAACCCGGGGCUCAACCCCGGGCCUGCAGCCGAUACGGGCAGACUAGAGUUCGGCAGGGGAGACUGGAAUUCCUGGUGUAGCGGUGAAAUGCGCAGAUACCAGGAGGAACACCGGUGGCGAAGGCGGGUCUCUGGGCCGAUACUGACGCUGAGGAGCGAAAGCGUGGGGAGCGAACAGG
rnacentral:rRNA from 1 species